GUGGGCGUGGCUCAAUUGGUUAGAGCACCUGGUUGUGACCCAGGAGGUCGGGGGUUCAAGUCCCCUCGCUCACCCCA
rnacentral:tRNA from 1 species